rnacentral:ncRNA from 1 species
GGCAACUGCCCUUAAAGGGGGUGUUCUGUUUGUUUGAUCAAAUAAUCUCGUUGUUUAUCGCACCACUUUUUGUGGGACUCAUAUUAUUAUGGAUUAGUCAGAAGUUAGAUGACUAGACGGUAUUCAAAUAGUUGCUACUAACCCAACGCUGAUUCACACCAGUGAAAAG